GUGGGGAAUAUUGGACAAUGGGCGAAAGCCUGAUCCAGCCAUGCUGCGUGUGUGAAGAAGGUCUUCGGAUUGUAAAGCACUUUAAGUUGGGAGGAAGGGCAGUAAGUUAAUACCUUGCUGUUUUGACGUUACCGACAGAAUAAGCACCGGCUAACUUCGUGCCAGCAGCCGCGGUAAUACGAAGGGUGCAAGCGUUAAUCGGAAUUACUGGGCGUAAAGCGCGCGUAGGUGGUUUUGUAAGUUGGAGGUGAAAUCCCCGGGCUCGACCUGGGAACUGCCUCCAAAACUGCAUGACUAGAGUACGGUAGAGGGUAGUGGAAUUUCCUGUGUAGCGGUGAAAUGCGUAGAUAUAGGAAGGAACACCAGUGGCGAAGGCGACUACCUGGACUGAUACUGACACUGAGGUGCGAAAGCGUGGGGAGCAAACAGGAUUAGAUACCCGUGUAGUCC
rnacentral:rRNA from 1 species